UGUGGGGUGGGAUCCCAGAACCCCGAGAUCACCACCUGAGCCACCCAGGUGGCUCAGCCACCCCUGAAGGAUUUUCCUCUUUAUCUUCCUGUGCACACCCUGAGGACUGAACCUGUGUAGUUUGCUCACGUUGGCCACCUCAGAACUCACAAUGUAAAAUAAAGACUCUGAGGCCUCAUGGCCUGCCCUUGAAAGAAGAGUUCAUAGGCAAGUCCCCGACUCAGCCCUGCCACAUCGCAGAUGGGACGAGCCACGCAGAGCCAACAGUUCCAUCAGCUCUCAGACCUGGCCACCUCCACGGGAGCACUUGGCAAUUCCACAGAAGCAGAAGAGCCUCCACUUCUUGGAAGCGGGAAUUAGCCAAGAAAACAGGUUCAUGAAGUAAUAAUGUUAUGUUCCCUGUAGAAAUGUCCAUCACUGGAUGAACUAAUACCUGGCAUCUCUGGAAGAAUCUGCAAGAAACUAGUAAUGUCUCCAGGGAGAGGAACUGCGUGGCCAGGGAGGGGAUGGGGUUGUGGGCGGAGACUUGUUACUAAAUAUACUUUUACACCUUUU